rnacentral:rRNA from 1 species
CCUACGGGAGGCAGCAGUGGGGAAUAUUGCACAAUGGGGGAAACCCUGAUGCAGCGACGCCGCGUGAGUGAAGAAGUACUUCGGUAUGUAAAGCUCUAUCAGCAGGGAAGAAAAUGACGGUACCUGAUCAAGAAUCCCUGCUAACUACGUGCCAGCAGCGGCGCUACUACGGAGGGGGCCAGCGUUAACCGGAUUUACUGGGUGUAAAGGGAGCGUAGACGGCCGGUCAAGUCUGGAGUGAAAGUCCGGGGCUUAACCCCGGAACUGCCUUGGAAACUGGUCAGCUAGAGUGCAGGAGAGGUAAGUGGAAUGCCUGGUGUAGCGGUGAAAUGCGUAGAUAUCAGGAGGAACACCAGUGGCGAAGGCGGCUUACUGGACUGUAACUGACGUUGAGGCUCGAAAGCGUGGGGAGCAAACAGGAUUAGAUACCCUUGUAGUC